rnacentral:rRNA from 1 species
UGUAGCGGUGAAAUGCGUAGAUAUCAGGAGGAAUACCGGUGGUGUAGACGGCUCUCUGGACCGUAACUGACACUGAAACACGAAAGCGUGGGUAGCAAACAGGAUUAGAUACCCUGGUAGUCCACGCCCUAAACGAUGCACAUUUGGUGUAGGUCAUUCAGUUGAUCUGUGCCGGAGCUAACGCGUUAAAUGUGCCGCCUGGGGAGUACAGUCGCAAGGCUGAAACUCAAAGGAAUUGACGGGGGCCCGCACAAGCGGUGGAGCAUGUGGUUCAAUUCGACGCAACGCGAAGAACCUUACCUGGGCUCGAACGGCUGGUCAACGACUGUGGAAACACGGUUACUCCGCAAGGGGGUCCAGUCGAGGUGCUGCAUGGCUGUCGUCAGCUCGUGUCGUGAGAUGUUGGGUUAAGUCCCGCAACGAGCGCAACCCUUGUCCUGUGUUGCCAUGCCGAAAGGCGGAACUCGCAGGAGACCGCCAGCGAUAAGCUGGAGGAAGGUGGGGAUGACGUCAAGUCCUCAUGGCCUUUAUGUCCAGGGCUACACACGUGCUACAAUGGCCGGUACAAAGCGCUGCUAAGUCGCAAGACGGAGCCAAUCGCAAAAAACCGGUCUCAGUUCGGAUUGCAGGCUGCAACUCGCCUGCAUGAAGCUGGAAUCGCUAGUAAUGGCAGAUCAGAACGCUGCCGUGAAUACGUUCCCGGGCCUUGUACACACCGCCCGUCACAUCACGAAAGUGGAUUGUACUAGAAGUCCGCUGGCUGACCGCAAGGAGGCCGCGGCCCAAGGUAUGAUUCAUGAUUGGGGUGAAGUCGUAACAAGGUAGCCGUAGGAGAACCUGCGGCUGGAUCACCUCCUUA